AUUGAACGCUGGCGGCAUGCUUUACACAUGCAAGUCGAACGGCAGCGCGGGCUUCGGCCUGGCGGCGAGUGGCGAACGGGUGAGUAAUACAUCGGAACGUGCCCAGUCGUGGGGGAUAGCUUGGCGAAAGCCGGAUUAAUACCGCAUACGACCUGAGGUUGAAAGCGGGGGUUCUUUGGACCUCGCGCUAUUUGAGCGGCCGAUGGCAGAUUAGCUAGUUGGUGGGGUAAAGGCCUACCAAGGCGACGAUCUGUAGCUGGGCUGAGUGGCCGACCAGCCACACUGGGACUGAGACACGGCCCAGACUCCUACGGGAGGCAGCAGUGGGGAAUUUUGGACAAUGGGCGAAAGCCUGAUCCAGCAAUGCCGCGUGUGUGAUGAAGGCCUUCGGGUUGUAAAGCACUUUUGGCGGGAACGAAAAGGACUGUGCCAAUACCACGGUUCGAUGACGGUACCCGCAGAAUAAGCACCGGCUAACUACGUG
rnacentral:rRNA from 1 species